CAUAGCAACAAAAUCAAUGAAACCUUUUCACCAAAACUUUCUCCAUCUAAUUCAUCUAUUCAGUUUCAAAUUCCAUCUUUUGACAACACCCCGAAUUCACCAACUACCAAUUCCUCACAACUAUGUGGACUUGACCCUACCUUCAACUCAAAACAAAACUCGGAAAUAAAAACCUCAAAGAGCAAAAGGUCUCGUACUCUUCAUGGUCAAGAUCAUAUCAUGGCUGAGAGAAAGAGAAGAGAGAAACUCACCCAAAACUUCAUUGCUCUUGCAGCUCUUGUUCCUAACCUUAAAAAGGUACAAUAAGUAAUUUCCUCACUUAUUGAUAAUUAGAUCAUGUAUUUUUCUUUCUAUGAAAUAAUCUUGGUUACUCUAUUUUUUGUCACACUACUCACUGAUUGAUUGUGUAAAAAUUUGUUAGGUGGACAAGUAUUCUGUAUUAGUUGACACUAUCAAAUAUUUGAAAGAGCUUAAAAAACGUUUGAAAGUUUUGGAAGAACAAAAUGAGAAAACAAAAAUAGAGUCAUUGGUGGUGGUCUUGACCAAACAAGCCUUUGCAACGAUGACAACUCCUCCUCAUGUGAUGAGAGUAUUGAUUGUGUUGUUGAUUUACCAUUUCAAGUGGAAGCAAGAAUCUUAGGAAAAUAUAUGUUGAUUGGAUCCAAUGCCAAGAGCACAAGGGGCUUCUAGUUAAAAUUAUGGUUGAGAUUCAAAGGUUUCAACUAUUUGUUGUAAAUAAUAGUGUCUUACCUUUUGGAGAUUCUAUCCUUGAUAUUACUAUUAUUGCUCAGGUAUAUACCAUCUCUCUAUCUACAUUUAAAUUGCCAUUAACAUUAUUUUUCACAAUUUUUUAUUUAUUUUUGGUGCCAUCAUUAUUACUUAUUAUAUUGACAAAUUUUUUUAUAUUAUUAUUAUAAUUGUUAUCAUAUAAGAAUUAUUUUUUUCUAGGUUGUUUUCCACUAUAAUUGCUCAAUAUAAUCAUUUUGUUGUCUUUUUAUUUUGGUGUUUUUUUUUUAUAUUAUUUACGACUGUAUUUAAUAUUAAUCUUAAUUAUUUUAUAGUUGGAUGAAAGCUACAACAUGAGCAUAAAGGAACUUGUGAAGAACCUACGCAUGGCAGCAUUGAAGUUUAUGUCAUCAUAAUAACGUGAACAUGAGCACGACUUUUGUUGGCGGCCAGUAAAAAAGAGUCACAAAUAUUUUCCUUACUAAUGUACAAUUUUUCAAUAAAUGUCUCUUUGGCCCAUAAAAUAAAGAUAAAUGUAUCUCUAGAUGCAUUUUAAAAUUUUAUUCAUUUAAAAUUUUCUUCAAGUGUUGAAACAAAUAUCUUUGUGAAGAUGCAAAUAUCUGUUUAGUUUUUCUUCUUAGUUAAGAUAUAGUACUAUGUAUGUUGGACAAAUAACAAUAAUCUUAUUCCUUGUCAAAAAAAAAACAAUAAUCUUAUUCAGUUAUUCUUAUCGUCAUAUUUUUGGUAAUUCAAGUUAAGAAAGCCGAUCUUUAUUUAAACAUAAGAUUAAUAUAUAUAUUGAGAAACCAUUAAAGGCUUGAUUUGAGAUUUUAUAAACACAUCGACAUCGAUGCUAGAUUUUGUACUUCGAUUUGCUAUUGUUAAGAAGAACUUUCAGUCCUUCGUAUCGUAGUAAGUAGUGUGUGAUAAGAGGAAAUCAUAUAGAGUUUUUAGUCCAUUUUUAAAAUUAUUUUAGAGUUAAAGUAGGCGGUUUGAAUGUAUUUUUAUUCGAGUUUUUUAAAGAACUAGAUGUUUGAACCGUGUUAUCGCACAACUCUCUUAAAGUUAAAGACUAAAUUAUAUUUAACAAUUAAUAUGUAAAUUGAUAUUAACAUAUUAAUUUAUAUGAUAAAGGAGAAAGUUAUUAUGAAGGUACUCAAGAAGAAUCGUGAAAGUCUGUCAUGUUUUGAAUCAGGUGCUCCAUAGAAUUAUUGUAUAAGAAAUUGGUAUCUAGUCUAGAAGAAUAGGCAAAUUCAUAAUUGCUACGGUUCUAGAAGAAUAACAACAACAUAUGGCUUUGGUUAUCCCUAUAUUAAGUAGUUCCACAUAUUUAUAUUUAGAUUCCUCUCAAAUAGAAUCCCAUCAAUUUAGAAUUCCAUAAAAGUAAGCAAGAUUUCAUAUUGAACUUAGAAGUUUAAAUAGAAAAUACAAAUAAAUCUGUAGAUUUCAUAUUGACACUUGGAGGGCAUUUUAGUCUUUGUACUUUCUUCUUCUAUAUUUAGAUCAGUUAGUUACAAAGCUCAUUACACAACUGUAUAGAUACCCAUGUAAUAACUGAUUCAUCAAUAAGAAUUUUCCCUCUUUUGUUCAUCUCAUAAUAUGGUAUCAAUUUUACUUUCUCUCUCUCUCUUUGAGAGGAGUUUGUUACGAUUCAGUUAGCUUCCGCCAUUGAUGCAUGAUCCUCAAGCUUCUUCAUCUUUCUCAAUUUUCAUUGAUUUUGUGAACAAUCACAUUGAUUCUUCUUCCAUUCUUCUUGUUUAGAUCUCAAUUUCGUUUUGAGUUAUUUGAUUCGCUUCUUUUUCAUUGUUUCACGCAUCAUCUUUUGCGUCUUUUCUUCGUACUAUGUUCUUCAUUACUGGUAAUUUUCUAGCUUUUCUUCAUCAUCCCUCCUCGUCAAGCUCCUCAGAUUGUUCAAUCAAACACUGAUUCACCGUAUUAUGUGCAUCCUAAUGAAGGACCAAGCUAUGUGAUAGUUACACCUCUUCUUGAUGGUUCUAACUACCUCGCAUGGCAUCGUUCUAUGAAGCGCCCAUUAGGAGCGAAGAACAAACUUUCCUUUGUUGAUGGAUCAAUUCCAAUCCCUCCUAUUGAUGAUUUGAACCGUAGUGCUUGGGAACACUGUAACUACCUGAUCCAUUUUUGGAUUUUGAACUCUGUUUCUCCUCAAAUUGCUCAGACUAUAGUAUUCCAUGAAUAUACCAUUGAUGUAUGGAUUGAGCCGUAGUGCUUGGGAACACUGUAACUACCUGAUCCAUUCUUGGAUUUUGAACUCUGUUUCUCGUCAAAUUGCUCAGACUAUAGUAUUCCAUGAAUACGCCAUUGAUGUAUGGAUUGAGCUUCAAGAACGCCUCUCUAAGGUUGGUAGAGUAAUAAUUUCUUCUUUACAUUCUGUCAUUAACAACUUGAAGCAAGGAAAAAAAUUGUGCUUGAUUACUUGUGCUCACCCUUGUCGUUGUGAAUCCAUGAGAUCGGCUCGCAAUUUUUGUUUGGAGGAUGAAGUCAUUCAGUUUUUGACUCGCUUGAAUGAUACUUUUGAAGUUGUAAAGAAUCCGGUUUUGCUUAUGGAUCCUCUUCCUUCUAUUAACAAAGUUUAUUCAUUGGUCACUCAGGAAGAAAGCAACAAUCAUGGUGUCACUGCACAUUUUUUAACAAGAAUAAUCAUACUGUUGAUUUUUGUUAUCAAAAACAUGGUUUCCCUAAUGCUAACAAGUGAGCUUCUUCCACUAAUGUUGUGAAUUCAGAUGUUGUACAAUUACUCCUUUGUCCUUAUAUCUAUAUUGAUCUCAAGGCAUAGAUAUUGUCGCCCUUGUGAUGAGUUAAUAAUUAUAUGUUUUAGCUUGAUAUUUAGUUUCGUUUUAAUUAGAUUUAAGUUUAUUUUAUUUUAAUAUUAUUUCCUUUUUGAGGUAUUUUACUUCAAUUGCAUAUUAUUAUAUUUCAGGAAUGAAUAUUUGAUGGAUUGAGUCUUGGAGCAAAAGAAAUGGGUUUUGGAACUGAUUCGGUGCAAAAAUACAAAGAUUUGGAGACAAAAAUAUAUCUCCCUCAAGUCAGAAGUUUGGCACGGUCGUGCCACCUCCCAUGACUGCUUUUGCUUAGACUUUAAGCUACUCUAUUUAGUUUUACCAUAAAGCCCUUUGCUUGUGGAACAUUCUAGUGAUGUAAUUGCUUAGAUUUUAAGUCGAAUGUAACCUAUAAAUAGAGUAACUAGUCAUCACAAAUAUUCAUCUUUUCUUUGGAAUUCAAUAAGUGACAAUUGUCUUUCUAAUAAAAGUUCUUUUCUUUUCCUUUACUUUACUUUCUUGUUAUUUACUUUUAUGUUUUCUCUCUUCUUCUCCAUGUCUACGAUGAACAUGAGUGAGAAGACUUCUUCGUGUCUUGGGAUUGUUGGAUAAGUCUAAAUGACAUAAUCCUAAUCAAACUAAGCUUUAAAUCUUAAUCUUAUGUAACCUUAAUCUCUAAUCUAAAUUCACCGCUUUAACAUGCAUUAACCAUAUCAAACAGUAGAAACGAAAGUGGAGGGUUUGAUAAUUGUUAAUCCAUCAUCUCAAAUAUCAAUUCAUAAAACGAAAGUGGAGCUUUGAUAUUCGAACAAGUGAAUUUAGACAAAGAUUGUAAAGGCAGCGAAAUAGUCUUUACAAUCUUUGAGACAUAUAGUUUCGAACUUCAAGGAUUCAAAAUUGUGAUCACGUCAGCGAAAUAGGCUUAGUUGCAACUUAGGACCAAAAUCUAAUAGUAAUCAAGUCAGCGAAAUAGGUUUGGUUCCUAGAGAAACAAAAGAGAAAUUGUCUUUAGAAGUUAGGUCUAACAUAAGGUUAUAAGUUUAAUAUUUUGGUUUGUGAAGGACUUGUCAGUUAGAUGAACCAAUAAUCCCAAGGCUCCUUUUAUUAUAUCUUUUCAACCGUUUGAAAACCCCAACUUUACAUCUUGAUUCUCUUCUAAUCACCAACAAAAGUUAAUUGAAUUAAACAACUCCCUGUCAGAACGAUACUCUUAUUUUACUACUUCGAUAAAACCGUGCACUUGCGGUUUUAUCCCAUCACCUUGUAAAGAUCAAUAUUUAUAUUUCUUGAUCCCGAAAUAUACUGAAUAACGAAUAAGUUCAAAAUCUCAUAUUGACUUAGUUCGGCAUGGCCAUGCAGUUUUACAAUCAUAUUUCAUCAAGAAGCCUAAAGAUAUAUCUCCUGUUAUGAGGAGGGACAAAUUCCAUCUAGGACACUCAUGUCCCUCAGCAUGAUUCAUCAAGCACCCAUCAACCAACGUUAUGGUUAUCCUUUGACAGACAACGUUAGAAUGACAACAAAGCACUUGAGUCCACAUAUAGGGAUCAUAGUGGUUUCAGGUCUAAGAGCGAUAUACAUUAUUAUCAUUGUGAGAAUAUCUUAUGACAAUUUCAUAACAUACUAUUUAGCAUUCUCACAGUGGGUCAAUCCAGUAUAAAUACUACUCCUAGUAUUUAUACCUAUGUAUAAUAGUCUCGACGCUUUAUUAUUAUCCUAAUUCAUAUUAAAGCUUGACAAUGGAUACAUUUAAGAAUAACGUUCUUUAUGAUAAUAUAAUCUCAUGACUAAGUCACACUUAAUAUAUUAUUAUACGAACUAUCUAUUCUAGGGAUUUUAUUAACAUUAUUAUAAAUAUAAUAAAGAGUCAUAUAUUAUUCAAUAAUAAAAGUCAUGAUACAUAAGAUGAGUUUAACAUAAACUAUUGACCUCUAGGGGCUUACACCAACACUACAAACAAUGGCUAGAAAAGGUGCGAAUCACUCACACGAAGCAAGUCGAUGAUGAAGAUGCGUCCGAGUAUUCUCCAUUAGGCAAAUCCAAAACAUUUGCUAAAGACUAUUGCAAGCUAGCAAUGAAAUCGGUGUUGGUAUGAGUCUCUAUAGACCUUGGGAAUUGUUUAUGAUGGGUCAAACAUCGAAGGAGGAUGACAUUUAGGCCUAUCAAACACCAUAUUACUCAAAGGGAACUCGAGGAGAUUAUCAAGGCAGAAGAGGAUCCCCACUCGAAUUAUCUACAAGUUGUUGUCCCCUAGCCAAAAUUUUUGACAUCGCUAUGGUUGUUGUGAAAAGCAUCCACCGUCACUUUGGAGUAUAAAACAAAGUCAACAUUAUCAAAUUGUAUAUCACUUAACCACCAUGCAAAGCAUAAAAUAAUAUCAAAGCUUCUCCCGUAAGAACAUUCCUAUAUUUGUCCUAUUCAGCUAAUCGAAAAAAGAAGUAUCAACAUUACAUUUUAAACAACCACGUUGUGGUUGCUGCAUGCCAUCUAAACGGAGAAAUACCCGUUGUCGACAUGCGACGGUGUUCACUAUCAACACCGAUAGCAGAAGACGUAACUCUUGGUGGUCACCUGCGGAUUAUGCACCUAAUUCCCGUGAAAUCCUUAUUGUAUUCAUCCAUUUCCUUAAAAUAAUAAAUUAAAUAUCUACCGUUUUAUUAGAUUUUUAUAUUGUGUCUAAUAAUUAAUCUCAAACUGGCUUAUAAAGUUAGGGUGCUUAUCUUUAUAAUCUAUGAUCGCACCUUAUAUUUUUUCAAUACGGGACUUGAAUUUUUCCGGUUAAAGGAUUUAUAUAAUUAACCAUUUGUGUAUUUGGAAAACUUGAAUGGUGAAUUUUAACUUUCCAUUUAAUUUUCCUUAAAAAAAAAAAAACUUUCCAUUUAAUUUUUUUUAUAUGCUGAUUUCUGACACGUUCAUUGUCUGUUGUUGUUGAUUUCCCAUCAUUAAAAAGGGUAGCUGAAAUGCAAUUUAAUAGUAACACGUGUACUGAAUUAUUGCUCUUUGAAACAAAGAAGAGUGAGACUUUCUUGCUGGAGAAAUGCAUGUAUAUGAACAACCCAAAUCAAAAUCAUUUGGACAAACAGACGUAAGAUGCGUAUUAUUUAAUUAUUUUAUCUUUGAUAUUUUAUUCAUCUAUGUGAGUGUGUUUAAAUUGAUUUAUUUAUAUAUGAAUAAAAUUGUACUCAAGUUAUUUAGUUGAAUUAUUUAUAAAAAAAAAAAAAAAAGUAAUUUAGUUGAAUAUGUAUCCAUUAUCUAAUCAAUCAAGGUCAUGUCAUACUUUAUAUUAAUUUAUUUUAAAAAAUAAAUAAAAUGUUUAAACAAAUUUUGUUUCAAAAUACCGAUAGCUAACCAAACUUUAAAAUAAAGGGUUAAUUAAGUUUUUGAUUCCUAUAAGUAUCUGCAGUUUUGUUUUUAGUCCCUAUAAUGUUUCAAAAUACCGUUAAUAUUUUUAGUCCUUGUUAAAUUAAAAUUUAUUUAAUUAUGCUUAAAAUUUUAAAUUUUUUAAUAAUUUUUUACAUACUUGUUUAAAACAUUAUAAAAGGUUCCGUCAAAAUAAAUUAUUUAUUUUUAGGUCCAAAUUUUCGUUAGUUUUAUAUUGAGUUUUAUAAUAAAAACAAAACUGCAGAUAUUUAUAGGGACCAAAAACUUAAUUAGCCCUAAAAUAAAUUAUUUUAAAACCUUUUUUUUAAGGAAAUUAUUUUAAAACCUUUUUUUUAAGGAAAUUAUUUUAAAAUCUUAAAAUCAAUCAAGUAAAUUAUUUUAAAAUAAAUUAAAAAUACAGAUUACCUUAUUUCUAUUAUCGUUCAACAGGAAAGGAUUCGUAACUCGUAUUUUCGAUUCAUAUAACAUCAAACCAAACCCUAAUUAGCACCUGCUUUAAAUCAACAUUGCUCCACAUUGCUUCUUCAUCAGAAAUUUAUUUUCUUUUUUUGUCGGUGUUUAUGUCCUUAUUUUUCCUUAUUUGUUCAUUCUGUUAAUAAGUUUUUUUUUUCUUUUCUCUCAAAAAAAAAGUUUUUUCUUUCUUUCCUGAAUUAAAGUUCCAACUUCCAACUGUACGUAAUACAAUAGCAUUUCAAUUCCUCCACUGUCGGGAGCUGGGUACGGUCCCAACACAUCAUAAAGGCACACAGAAGUGGGGUAUAUAUACGUAGUCAUACAUGAGUGUCCACUCAAAGUUUUAUUUUUUUACAUGAAUUUUUUUUUUUUUUGUCAGGUAGUCUAAUAGUUAGAAUUCAAUUUUUUUAAGGUGAAUAAGUAGGGUGUUCAGAGUUAGAACCCCGAUCUCUGCAUAUAAGAAUGCAUUUUCCAACCAAAUGAGCUAUGCUCACGGAACUACAUGAAUGUCUUUUACUACCUUACAAUAUAGAACAACUUGGCCUAUUGAGCAUUAGAGUAUUGACGCCAUAACUGGUUGUAAACAAGUUAGCCAAAGAGGAUUGGUGUAUUAGGUCAAAUAAAAUAUUUUUUUCGAUCAUUUUUAUACGAGACAAAUACGUCAACUAAAGUUGAUUUAUUUGAUCCACGAUGUAAACCAAAUAUUUCAAUUUUUGUUGACUCAUUUAUCUCAUGUAUUCUUGGUCGUAUUUAUAAGCUAUUGUUGCUUUUUUAAAUUCAUUUAAGAACUGAUAUAUGUGAAAUAUAUUAUAGUUCAUAUACAUUUAACAACUGAUCUAUCUGAAGUAUAUUAUAAUUCAUAUAUAUAGUUAUUAAUGAAUCUAAGAGAAGAAAAGUUGUUUAUAAAUGUGACCGGAGAUAGUAAAUAAAAAUGAUAAUUAAGUAAAUAGGUUUUAUAAAUAUAUAUAGAAUUUGUUUUUAGUUUUUUAAAAAAAUUACACCAUUAGCUUAUCAAUUUUCUUCUUUUAAUGAUAUAGUAGUAUAUUAACUUAUUAAAAAAAUACUAGUAUCCCCUAAAAAAAUAUUACCUCCAUUCCUUUUUAAUUGUCACAUUUUGACAUUUUACACAAACUAAGACAAUCAAUAAUUGAUACUACUUUUGAUGCAAUAAGUUAUACUUUUACUAUAAUGACCUUAUUCAUUUAAUAUCUCAUUUCAUAUAUUUCUCUCCGCAAUAAAUAACUAAGGAUAAUAUUGGUAAAACAACAUUUAAUGUUGCAUUGAACUUUGAAAGUGACAGUUAAAUAAAAACAAAACUUUUCUCCAAAAAGUGACAUCUAAAAAGGAACGGAGCAAAUAAUAUAUAGCAUGUUCCCACUUGUGUGUAAUUGAUAUAACACACUUCUCCAAAAAAAAAAAAAUAUAAAGCAUGUUGCCAAUAAAUGAUACAUACCACACGUGUUUAAAAUUUAGUCCUAUAAAAUGAUCUAACAAUGGAAACUCUAAUUCACCACAAAUAGCACUAGCCUUCCUCUUUCCUGUUUUAAUUUUAGUAUACAAGUGUUACCCAAUUUGAUUGAGACAAUGGAAGAAAUCAACAACACAACAAUGAACGUAUCAUCAACCAACAGCUGGUUAUCUGAUUUGGUAAGAAAAUCAAAAGUUAAAUUCAUUCUUCUUAUUUUCUAAAUCCAAAAAUGGUUUUGAUUACAAAUUAGUUCUUUAAAGAUUUUGCUAACAAGUGUCUUGAGGACACUCAUUAAGGAUUUUUAAUGAAAAAAUUAUUCUUUAAAAAGUCAAAAACUUUAACAAAAACUUACUAUUUAAAGUUACUGACCAAUGCUCUAAUAAGAGCGCUUCGUUAGCAUUUCUCAUUCUUUUUCAUUUUCCUUUUUUUUGCAGGAAAUGGACGAAUACAAUUUAUUUGCAGAGGAAAGCAACCUGAAUUUUCUUGAUACAGAUGUGGUAGAGUUUCUUUCACAUGACAUAGGUAAUGUAUUCCAAGAACAAAACAAACAACAAUGUUUCACUUCAGGGUCCACUCCCAAAUCUCUUAGCAACUCAUCAUGUUAUGAAACAAAUAUGGAGCUGAAAACAAUUGAUCAUAGCAACAAAGUCAAUGAAACCUUUUCACCAAAACUUUCUCCAUCUAACUCAUCUUUACAGUUUCAAAUUCCAUCUUUUGACAACUCUCCAAAUUCACCCACUACAAAGUCCUCACAAUUAUGUGGAUUUGACCCUACCUUAAACUCAAAACAAAACUUGGAAACAAAAACCUCAAAGAGCAAAAGGUCUCGUACUCUUCAUGGUCAAGAUCAUAUCAUGGCUGAGAGAAAGAGAAGAGAGAAACUCACCCAAAACUUCAUUGCUCUUGCAGCUCUUGUUCCUAAC
rnacentral:lncRNA from 1 species